UGUCCUCGAACAGCCCCACCA
rnacentral:misc_RNA from 1 species